rnacentral:rRNA from 1 species
UUACACGGUCCGUAGGUGAACCUGCGGAAGGAUCAUUAAAGAGUAAGGGUGCUCAGCGCCCGACCUCCAACCCUCUGUUGUUAAAACUACCUUGUUGCUUUGGCGGGACCGCUCGGUCUCGAGCCGCUGGGGAUUCGUCCCAGGCGAGCGCCCGCCAGAGUUAAACCAAACUCUUGUUAUAUAAACCGGUCGUCUGAGUUAAAAUUUUGAAUAAAUCAAAACUUUCAACAACGGAUCUCUUGGUUCUCGCAUCGAUGAAGAACGCAGCGAAAUGCGAUAAGUAAUGUGAAUUGCAGAAUUCAGUGAAUCAUCGAAUCUUUGAACGCACAUUGCGCCCCUUGGUAUUCCGAGGGGCAUGCCUGUUCGAGCGUCAUUACACCACUCAAGCUAUGCUUGGUAUUGGGCGUCCGUCCCUUCGGGGGCGCGCCUUAAAGACCUCGGCGAGGCCUCACCGGCUUUAGGCGUAGUAGAAUUUAUUCGAACGUCUGUCAAUGGAGAGGACUUCUGCCGACUGAAACCUUUUUUAUUUUUCUAGGUUGACCUCGGAUCAGGUAGGGAUACCCGCUGAACUUAAGCAUAUCAUAG